rnacentral:pre_miRNA from 1 species
GCGAGGAGAGUGAGUCAGGCUAGCCAAGGAGACUGCCCGUGAGACCACCCCAAGGCUCAUCGAUCACAUCUCUGAUGAUGCCUGAUCGAUGAUCCUUCAGGGAGAGAUCUAGGUCGACACAGGCAAGUCAUCCUUGGCUACCAGAGCUAAACCCUCAUCG